rnacentral:rRNA from 1 species
UAGCUAGUUGGUAGGGUAAAGGCCUACCAAGGCGACGAUCGGUAGCUGGUCUGAGAGGAUGACCAGCCACACUGGAACUGAGGCACGGUCCAGACUCCUACGGGAGGCAGCAGUGGGGAAUAUUGGACAAUGGGGGCAACCCUGAUCCAGCAAUGCCGCGUGUGUGAAGAAGGCCUGAGGGUUGUAAAGCACUUUCAGUGGGGAGGAGGAUAUUUUGGUUAAGAGCUGAGAUAUUGGACGUUACCUACAGAAGAAGCACCGGCUAACUCCGUGCCAGCAGCCGCGGUAAUACGGAGGGUGCGAGCGUUAAUCGGAAUUACUGGGCGUAAAGAGUGCGUAGGUGGUUAUUUAAGUUAUCUGUGAAAUCCCUGGGCUCAACCUGGGCAGGUCAGAUAAUACUGGGUGACUCGAGUAUAGGAGAGGGUAGUGGAAUUUCCGGUGUAGCGGUGAAAUGCGUAGAGAUCGGAAGGAACACCAGUGGCGAAGGCGGCUACCUGGCCUGAUACUGACACUGAGGCACGAAAGCGUGGGGAGCAAACAGGAUUAGAUACCCUGGUAGUCCACGCCGUAAACGAUGUCAACUAGCUGUUGGUUAUAUAAAAAUAAUUAGUGGCGC